GGCCCCAUAGUCUAGCGGUCAGGACGCCGCCCUCUCACGGCGAAGACAGGGGUUCGAUUCCCCUUGGGGCUA
rnacentral:tRNA from 1 species